rnacentral:rRNA from 1 species
GAUGAACGCUGGCGGCGUGCCUAAUACAUGCAAGUCGAGCGAACAGACGAGGAGCUUGCUCCUCUGACGUUAGCGGCGGACGGGUGAGUCACACGUGGAUAACCUAACUAUACGACUGGGAUAACUUCGGGAAACCGGAGCUAAUACCGGAUAAUAUAUUGAACUGCAUGGUUCAAUAGUGAAAGACGGUUUUGCUGUCACUUAUAGAUGGAUCCGCGCCGCAUUAGCUAGUUGGUAAGGUAACGGCUUACCAAGGCAACGAUGCGUAACCGACCUGAGAGGGUGAUCGGCCACACGGGAACUGAGACACGGUCCAGACUCCUACGGGAGGCAGCAGUAGGGAAUCUUCCGCAAUGGGCGAGAGCUUGACGGAGCAACGCCGCGUGAGUGAUGAAGGUCUUCGGAUCGGAAAACGCUGUUAGUAGGGAAGAACAAAUGUGUAAGUAACUAUGCACGUCUUGACGGUACCGAGACAGAAAGCCACGGCUAACUACGUG